AGCGAACGCUGGCGGCAGGCCUAACACAUGCAAGUCGAACGAACUCUUCGGAGUUAGUGGCGGACGGGUGAGUAACACGUGGGAACGUGCCUUUUGGUUCGGAAUAACUCAGGGAAACUUGUGCUAAUACCGAAUGUGCCCUUCGGGGGAAAGAUUUAUCGCCAUUAGAGCGGCCCGCGUCUGAUUAGCUAGUUGGUGAGGUAACAGCUCACCAAGGCGACGAUCAGUAGCUGGUCUGAGAGGAUGACCAGCCACACUGGGACUGAGACACGGCCCAGACUCCUACGGGAGGCAGCAGUGGGGAAUCUUGCGCAAUGGGCGAAAGCCUGACGCAGCCAUGCCGCGUGAAUGAUGAAGGUCCUAGGAUUGUAAAAUUCUUUCACCGGGGACGAUAAUGACGGUACCCGGAGAAGAAGCCCCGGCUAACUUCGUG
rnacentral:rRNA from 1 species